rnacentral:lncRNA from 1 species
GUGUCAUGCAAGAAGGAGGCGGCGGCGGCGGCCGGAGCUGGAGGGGGAGGAGGGGAGGAACCUGAUCCUCGGUAGCGAAGGGCUGGAGGCAAACACCGAGCUCCCCCUGAGCCGCCUGGGAGCAGGGAGGGUUCUGCUACCCUGAGGGGCCCUCCCCGCGGGGCAGAGGGUGGGAGGAAGUCACAGCAUCUACUUCUGAAUCUGUGCUUGCCUUGAGGAAAAACGGCAUGGCACAGGAAUGUGGACGCUUUCAACCAGAGGAUUCUGUACGACGGUGUCGGCACACAAGGAGUGUUCCACUGACUGACCUCUUUUUGUUUUCAAAUGAAGAGGAGCCAAGAAUAGGACAGCUUGGGAAGCUCAUCCUCGUCUACGGCCAAACGUUGGUUUCUCAUUUCUAGAAGAUGAAAGAUGUGAUGACUCAGGAAAAACUGGAAUCUUAGUAACUGUGGUGGGCAUUGAGCCUUGCCGUCCACAAGAGAAAGCUUGCUGCUCGAGAUGUGAGUCUUCAGAUGUUCCUGCCGCCAUAUCUGACAGCUGCUGCCAAGAUUCCCUGGUGGGAUGGACUCUUAUACCUCAACAACCAGAAGCCCAAGUAAACUCUUCUAUAAAUUGAAUGACUCAUGCUUAAAAAAAAAAACAAAAAACAAA